GUCAAGGUGGUGGAGUGGUUAACACGUUCGCCUGCUAUCCAGUUUCUGGAGAAGUUAGCGGAUGCCUUCUGGGCGCGCAGGUUCGAAUCCUGUCCUUGACG